rnacentral:rRNA from 1 species
UGGGGAAUAUUGCACAAUGGACGGAAGUCUGAUGCAGCAACGCCGCGUGCGGGAUGACGGCCUUCGGGUUGUAAACCGCUUUUUCUCAUGACGAAGUUUUUUGACGGUAGUGGGGGAAGAAGCCGGCUAACUACGUGCCAGCAGCCGCGGUGAUACGUAGGGUGCGAGCGUUGUCCGGAAUUAUUGGGCGUAAAGAGCUUGUAGGCGGUUUGUCGCGUCGAUAGUGCAAACUCAGUGCUUAACGCUGAGCCUGCUGUUGAUACGGGCAGACUAGAGGAAGGUAGGGGAGAAUGGAAUUCCCGGUGGAGCGGUGGAAUGCGCAGAUAUCGGGAGGAACACCGGUGGCGAAGGCGGUUCUCUGGGCCUUUCCUGACGCUGAGAAGCGAAAGCGUGGGGAGCGAACAGG